ACCGCCCCCUGUUCACUCUCCUCCACCUCCUUAUGUCUACAAGUCACCUCCCCCACCAUCGCCUUCACCACCUCCUCCUUACGUCUACAAGUCACCUCCCCCACCAUCGCCUUCUCCUCCACCACCGUACGUCUACAAGUCUCCUCCACCUCCCUCACCUAAAUUGCCUCCGUACGAGUACAAGUCACCACCACCUCCAUCACCUUCUCCCCCACCACCAUAUGUCUACAAAUCACCACCUCCACCAUCACCUUCUCCUCCACCGCCUUACUACUACAAGUCUCCUCCACCUCCGGUACAUUCUCCACCACCACCAUACUACUACAAAUCUCCUCCACCUCCUGUACAUUCACCACCACCACCUUACUACUACAAAUCUCCUCCACCCCCAGUACAUUCUCCCCCACCACCUUACUAUUACAAAUCUCCUCCACCCCCAGUACAUUCUCCACCACCACCUUACUACUAUAAGUCUCCUCCUCCUCCUUCUCCCUCACCACCACCACCAUACUACUACAAAUCCCCUCCUCCACCUUCCCCAACUCCUCAUGCACCAUACUACUACAAGUCUCCUCCACCGCCGUCACCAAAACCUUACAUGUACAAGUCUCCUCCACCACCAUCCCCAAAACCUUACAUGUAUAAGUCUCCUCCACCACCAUCACCAAAGCCUUACAUGUAUAAGUCUCCUCCACCACCAUCCCCAAAGCCUUACGUGUACAAGUCUCCCCCGCCACCGUCACCAAAGCCGUACGUCUACAAGUCUCCACCACCACCCUCUCCCAAACCGUACGUGUACAAGUCUCCACCACCACCAUCGCCAAAGCCUUA
rnacentral:lncRNA from 1 species